GUGUAAUGGGACGUUCGGUUAAUUCGGUGUCGUCAUAAAAUGUUCAGAUAGUGCGUUAACAAUCAGUCAGUACAGCGACGUGAACGUCUAAGCAGACGAGGAAGCCGCCUACAUUACCCAUGAUGCUGUGCUGGAGAAGCACCUUAAAGACACGCCCACCUCAUAACCGGUCAAACAAAUGAAAAUGGCGCGUGCUGCUCACCUGUGAAAGUGUCAGAGCAGUUUUUCGUCUCGUACCGACCAGAUCACAAAGGAUCCUGAUGGUUCGUAACAAUCGCUGCUUUCUGGGACCGUGUGUGGAACCUCCCUGGGUCAGACCGGGCCCAGCAGAGGCCUGAGGAUAAUGAGACUCUCCAGUCAAUUCCAUAAUGGCUUCCUGAGAAGUCAGCACAGCUGUGCACGGCUGCCUAGAGAUUUGGGACGUGGCUACGAGGCUUCUGUGCAAGUAGCUUCCUGAUGUCAGCGUGAGACGAGGGC
rnacentral:lncRNA from 1 species